GCGGGCGUGGCGGAACUGGCAGACGCGCGGGACUUAGGAUCCCGUGGGGAAACCCGUGCAGGUUCGAUUCCUGUCGCCCGCA
rnacentral:tRNA from 1 species